AGUCCGCGGACUAUUAGCUAGUUGGUGAGGUAAAGGCCCACCAAGGCGACGAUAGGUAGCCGGACUGAGAGCAAGGCCGACAAAACCACGACGGAGACACAACCCAGACUCCCACGGGAGGCAGCAGUGGGGAAUAUUGCGCAAUGGGGGAAACCCUGACGCAGCGACCCCGCGUAAAGGAAGAAGGCUUUCGGGUUGUAACUCCUUGGAUUGGGGACGAAGAAAGUGACGGUACCCAAGGAACAAGCCACGGCUAACUACGUGCCAGCAGCCGCGGUAAUACGUAGGUGGCGAGCGUAGUCCGGAAUUACUGGGUGUAAAGGGCGUGUAGGCGGGACUGCAAGUCAAAUGUGAAAUAUCACGGCUCAACCGUGGGGCUGCAUCUGAACUGUAGUUCUUGAGUACGGGAGAGGGAAGCGGAAUUCCUAGUGUAGCGGUGAAAUGCGUAGAUAUUAGGAGGAACACCAGUGGCGAAGGCGGCUUCCUGGACAGAGACUGACGCUGAGGCGCGAAAGCGUGGGGAGCGAACAGGAUUAGAUACCCUGGUAGUCCACGCUGUAAACGAUGGAUACUAGGUGUAGGAGGUAUCGACCCCUUCUGUGCCGGAGUUAACACAAUAAGUAUCCCACCUGGGGAGUACGGCCGCAAGGUUGAAACUCAAAGGAAUUGACGGGGGCCCGCACAAGCAGUGGAGUAUGUGGUUUAAUUCGAAGCAACGCGAAGAACCUUACCAGGGCUUGACAUCCCUUGGCGACACAAGAGAUUGUGUUUUCCUACGGGACAAGGAGACAGGUGGUGCAUGGUUGUCGUCACCUCGUGUCGUGAGAUGUUGGGUUAAGUCCCGCAACGAGCGCAACCCCUGUUGUUAGUUGCCAUCAAGUAAAGCUGGCCACUCUAACGAGACUGCCCGUGACAAAUCGGAGGAAGGUGGGGAUGACGUCAAAUCAUCAUGCCCCUUAUGUCCUGGGCGACACACGUACUACAAUGGCUACAACAGAAGGAAGCGAUACCGUAAGGUGGAGCAAAUCCAGAAAAAGUAGUCCCAGUUCGGAUUGAGGGCUGAAACUCGCCCUCAUGAAGUCGAAAUUGCUAGUAAUGGAAGGUCGGCAUACUGCCCUGAAUACGUUCCCGGCCCUUGCACACACCGCCCGUCACACCAUGAGAGUCGACAACACCCGAAGACAGCAGCAUAACCUGUAUUUAUAUGGGGGAGCGCUGCCGAAGGUGGGGCCGAUGAUUGGGGUGAAGUCGUAACAAGGUAACC
rnacentral:rRNA from 1 species